rnacentral:lncRNA from 1 species
UUGCUCUCGGGGCGCCGGCUUAUUUGGAUACUUAAGUGACCAGACUGGAGGUAAGGUCCCUGGUCGAGCAUUGCUCUCGGGGCACCAGUCUUAUUAGAUUAAGAGAGCCGAAUGGCUACUGGAUUUCUUAUUUGGAUACUUAAGUGACCAGAGUGGAGGUAAGGUCCCUGGUCGAGCAUUGCUCUCGGGGCGCCAGUCUUAUUGGAUUAAGAGAGCCGAAUGGCUACUAGAUUUCUUAUUUGGAUACUUAAGUGACCAGACUGGAGGUAAGGUCCCUAGUCGAGCAUUGCUCUCGGGGCGCCAGUCUUAUUGGAUUAAGAGAGCCAAAAUGGCUGUUAGAAUUUGGGGUUAGGGUUCUACUUAGCCACACGUCUUGUGAAAGUAAAAAUGUCUUUAUUUAU